rnacentral:rRNA from 1 species
GACGAACGCUGGCGGCGUGCUUAACACAUGCAAGUCGAACGGUGAAGCGCCUUCCUUUUUGGUGGGUGUGGAUGAGUGGCGAACGGGUGAGUAACACGUGAGUAACCUGCCCCCUUCUCCUGGAUAACCGCAUGAAAGUGUGGCUAAUACGGGAUAUUCUGGGUCUGUCGCAUGAUGGGUCUGGGAAAGAUAAUGUUUCGGUGGGGGAUGGGCUCGCGGCCUAUCAGCUUGUUGGUGGGGUGAUGGCCUACCAAGGCGGUGACGGGUAGCCGGCCUGAGAGGGUGGACGGUCACACUGGGACUGAGACACGGCCCAGACUCCUACGGGAGGCAGCAGUGGGGAAUAUUGCACAAUGGGCGCAAGCCUGAUGCAGCGACGCCGCGUGAGGGAUGGAGGCCUUCGGGUUGUGAACCUCUUUCGCCAGUGAAGCAGGCCUGCCUCGUUUGUGGGUGGGUUGACGGUAGCUGGAUAAGAAGCGCCGGCUAACUACGUG